GAGUUUGAUCAUGGCUCAGAGUGAAUGCUAGGGGUAUGCUUAACACAUGCAAGUUGAACGGAACAUUUGUUUAGUAGCGUACGGGUGAGUAAUAUAGGAGAACUAAUUACUAAGUUCAGGAUAAGAGAUUCGUCUGUAUAAAUACUGGAUAUGUUGAAAGAUUUAUCGCUUAGUUUGAGGCUCCUAUGGGAUUAGGUUGUUGGUUGUGUAAUGGACAACCAAGCCGAAGAUCCCUAGUUGGUUUGAGAGGAUGACCAGCCACACUGGGACUGAGACAAGGCCCAGACUUCCAUGGAGGGCAGCAGUGAGGAAUAUUGGACAAUGGGCGCAAGCUUGAUCCAGCAAUACCUAUUGGGUGAUGACAGGAACACUGUAAAACCUAUGAAAUAAGGAAAAUUAUGACUGUACUUAAUUUUUAGCCCCGGCUAACUUCGUGCCAGCCGCCGCGGUAAU
rnacentral:rRNA from 1 species